GGAGAGAUGGCUCAGAGGUUAAGAACACUGGCUGCUCAUCCAGAGGUCCUGAGUUCAAUUCUCAGUAACUACA
rfam:Mesocricetus auratus contig156496, whole genome shotgun sequence.